rnacentral:lncRNA from 1 species
GUCACGUCUGGUCAGAAUGGGGACAUUUAAUCUUAUGUCUAGUUGUAGAGAGAAUGCACUCUUUGAGGAGUUCGUAGUUGGUCUACUGAAAAGCAAAGUGUCUGCUCCUAUCCGCAAUUUUCCAAUGCAUGGCAUUUUCAAAUUUCCAGACCUUCAUCAUGUACAACACUUAUUACAGGACUAAGCUCUCUGUUGUGUUUAUUGUAAAUAAUCAAUGUUUUUUUUUUUUGUUCUUAAGUUGCAUAAAUAUUUUACACUGGAUGUUUAAAAUUCAAUCUAUCAACUAGCUUCCAGUAGUUUUGAGUACUCUCAGAUCUACGUGUAAUGACCACAAUUAUUCAAAUUCCUAAGCAGGUAUGGAUUUUACAGUAGAGCGGGAUAUAAAGAAAUACGAAUUUCAUGAAUUUUGUUAUGUUAGUAUGAACAGAACAGACUUAUGCAUUAUGCAUCGACUAUGUGUGUAUGUGUUUGUGUGGCUAGGGUGAAGGUUUAGAAUUAAAAAAUUGAUGGUUGAUGUCUUUCUAGCUAAAAGGAUAGUGUUAUUAUAUAUAUCAGUGUUUACGUGCACGUGCCUAUUUUUUUU